CCUACGGGUGGCUGCAGUGAGGAAUAUUGGUCAAUGGACGAGAGCCUGAACCAGCCAAGUCGCGUGAAGGAUGACUGCCCUAUGGGUUGUAAACUUCUUUUAUAUGGGAAUAAAACGUUCCACGUGUGGGUUUUUGUAUGUACCCUAUGAAUAAGGAUCGGCUAACUCCGUGCCAGCAGCCGCGGUAAUACGGAGGAUCCGAGCGUUAUCCGGAUUUAUUGGGUUUAAAGGGAGCGUAGGCGGAUAGUUAAGUCAGUUGUGAAAGUUUGCGGCUCAACCGUAAAAUUGCCGUUGAAACUGGUAGUCUUGAGUACAGUAGAGGUAUGCGGAAUGCGUGGUGUAGCGGUGAAAUGCAUAGAUAUCACGAAGAACUCCGAUUGCGAAGGCAGUUCACUGGACUGCAACUGACACUGAGGCUCGAAAGUGUGGGUAUCAAACAGGAUUAGAUACCCUUGUAGUC
rnacentral:rRNA from 1 species